UUGAUCCUGGCUCAGGACGAACGCUGGCGGCGUGCCUAAUGCAUGCAAGUCGAACGCAGCGGCCGUGUGCCGGCUGCGUGGCGAACGGCUGAGGAACACGUGGGUAACCACCCCCGGAGUGGGGGAUACCCCGUCGAAAGACGGGACAAUCCCGCAUACGCUCUACGGAGGAAAGCCGCAAGGCGCUCCGGGACGGGCCUGCGGCCCAUCAGGUAGUUGGUGUGGUAACGGCGCACCAAGCCAAUGACGGGUUCCCGGUCUGAGAGGACGACCGGGCAGACUGGGACUGCGACACGGCCCAGACUCCUACGGGAGGCAGCAGCAAGGAAUUUUCCCCAAUGGGCGCAAGCCUGAGGGAGCAACGCCGCGUGGAGGACGACGGCCUUCGGGUUGUAAACUCCUUUCGGGCGGGACGAUAAUGACGGUACCGCCAGAAGCAGCCCCGGCUAACUCUGUGCCAGCAGCCGCGGUAAGACAGAGGGGGCAAGCGUUGUCCGGAGUUACUGGGCGUAAAGGGCGCGGAGGCGGUCUGCUGCGUCGGCGCUGAAAGCGCCCCGCUUAACGGGGCGAGGCGCGCCGAUACGAGCAGGCUCGAGGCGAGCAGAGGGCGGCGGAAUUCCGGGUGGAGCGGUGAAAUGCGUAGAGAUCCGGAGGAACGCCAGUGGGGAAGCCGGCCGCCUAGGCUCGACCUGACGCUGCGGCGCGACAGCGUGGGGAGCAAACCGGAUUAGAUACCCGGGUAGUCCACGCCGUAAACGAUGCCGGCUCGGCGUUUGGUGCGCGCGAGCGCGCUGGGCGCCUUAGCUCACGCGGUAAGCCGGCCGCCUGGGGACUACGAGCGCAAGCUUAAAACUCAAAGGAAUUGACGGGGGCCCGCAC
rnacentral:rRNA from 1 species